rnacentral:rRNA from 1 species
GACGAACGCUGGCGGCGUGCCUAAUACAUGCAAGUCGAACGAGAGCGACCGGGGCUUGCACUGGUCAAUCUAGUGGCGAACGGGUGAGUAACACGUGGGUAACCUGCCCAUCAGAGGGGGACAACAUUCGGAAACGGAUGCUAAAACCGCAUAGGUCUUUUAACCGCAUGGUUGAAGGAGGAAAAGAGGCGCAAGCUUCUGCUGAUGGAUGGACCCGCGGUGCAUUAGCUAGUUGGUGAGGUAACGGCUCACCAAGGCCGUGAUGCAUAGCCGACCUGAGAGGGUGAUCGGCCACAUUGGGACUGAGACACGGCCCAAACUCCUACGGGAGGCAGCAGUAGGGAAUCUUCCGCAAUGGACGCAAGUCUGACGGAGCAACGCCGCGUGAGUGAAGAAGGUUUUCGGAUCGUAAAACUCUGUUGUUAGAGAAGAACAAGUGCUAGAGUAACUGUUAGCGCCUU